AUUGAACGCUGGCGGCAGGCCUAACACAUGCAAGUCGAGCGGAUGAAGGGAGCUUGCUCCUGGAUUCAGCGGCGGACGGGUGAGUAAUGCCUAGGAAUCUGCCUGGUAGUGGGGGAUAACGUCCGGAAACGGGCGCUAAUACCGCAUACGUCCUGAGGGAGAAAGUGGGGGAUCUUCGGACCUCACGCUAUCAGAUGAGCCUAGGUCGGAUUAGCUAGUUGGUGGGGUAAAGGCCUACCAAGGCGACGAUCCGUAACUGGUCUGAGAGGAUGAUCAGUCAAACUGGAACUGAGACACGGUCCAGACUCCUACGGGAGGCAGCAGUGGGGAAUAUUGGACAAUGGGCGAAAGCCUGAUCCAGCCAUGCCGCGUGUGUGAAGAAGGUCUUCGGAUUGUAAAGCACUUUAAGUUGGGAGGAAGGGCAGUAAGUUAAUACCUUGCUGUUUUGACGUGACCAACAGAAGAAGCACCGGCUAACUUCGU
rnacentral:rRNA from 1 species